AGAGUUUGAUCCUGGCUCAGAUUGAACGCUGGCGGCAUGCCUUACACAUGCAAGUCGGACGGCAGCACGGGAGCAAUCCUGGUGGCGAGUGGCGAACGGGUGAGUAAUACUUCGGAACGUGCCCAAUCGUGGGGGAUAACGCAGCGAAAGCUGUGCUAAUACCGCAUAAGAUCUACGGAUGAAAGCGGGGGAUCGCAAGACCUUGCGCGAAUGGAGCGGCCGAUGGCAGAUUAGGUAGUUGGUGAGGUAAAGGCUCACCAAGCCUUCGAUCUGUAGCUGGUCUGAGAGGACGACCAGCCACACUGGGACUGAGACACGGCCCAGACUCCUACGGGAGGCAGCAGUGGGGAAUUUUGGACAAUGGGCGAAAGCCUGAUCCAGCCGUGCCGCGUGCAGGAUGAAGGCCUUCGGGUUGUAAACUGCUUUUGUACGGAACGAAAAGUCUCUUUCUAAUAAAGAGGGAUCAUGACGGUACCGUAAGAAUAAGCACCGGCUAACUACGUGCCAGCAGCCGCGGUAAUACGUAGGGUGCAAGCGUUAAUCGGAAUUACUGGGCGUAAAGCGUGCGCAGGCGGUUAUGUAAGACAGUUGUGAAAUCCCCGGGCUCAACCUGGGAACUGCAUCUGUGACUGCAUAGCUAGAGUACGGUAGAGGGGGAUGGAAUUCCGCGUGUAGCAGUGAAAUGCGUAGAUAUGCGGAGGAACACCGAUGGCGAAGGCAAUCCCCUGGACCUGUACUGACGCUCAUGCACGAAAGCGUGGGGGAGCAAACAGGAUU
rnacentral:rRNA from 1 species